UGGGGAAUAUUGCACAAUGGGCGCAAGCCUGAUGCAGCCAUGCCGCGUGUAUGAAGAAGGCCUUCGGGUUGUAAAGUACUUUCAGCGGGGAGGAAGGCGAUAAGGUUAAUAACCUUGUCGAUUGACGUUACCCGCAGAAGAAGCACCGGCUAACUCCGUGCCAGCAGCCGCGGUAAUACGGAGGGUGCAAGCGUUAAUCGGAAUUACUGGGCGUAAAGCGCAGGCAGGCGGUCUGUCAAGUCGGAUGUGAAAUCCCCGGGCUCAACCUGGGAACUGCAUCCGAAACUGGCAGGCUAGAGUCUUGUAGAGGGGGGUAGAAUUCCAGGUGUAGCGGUGAAAUGCGUAGAGAUCUGGAGGAAUACCGGUGGCGAAGGCGGCCCCCUGGACAAAGACUGACGCUCAGGUGCGAAAGCGUGGGGAGCAAACA
rnacentral:rRNA from 1 species